rnacentral:rRNA from 1 species
AUUGAACGCUGGCGGCAGGCCUAACACAUGCAAGUCGAACGGUAACAGGAAGCAGCUUGCUGCUUUGCUGACGAGUGGCGGACGGGUGAGUAAUGUCUGGGAAACUGCCUGAUGGGGGGGGAUAACUACUGGAAACGGUAGCUAAUACCGCAUAACGUCGCAAGACCAAAGAGGGGGACCUUCGGGCCUCUUGCCAUCGGAUGUGCCCAGAUGGGAUUAGCUUGUUGGUGGGGUAACGGCUCACCAAGGCGACGAUCCCUAGCUGGUCUGAGAGGAUGACCAGCCACACUGGAACUGAGACACGGUCCAGACUCCUACGGGAGGCAGCAGUGGGGAAUAUUGCACAAUGGGCGCAAGCCUGAUGCAGCCAUGCCGCGUGUAUGAAGAAGGCCUUCGGGUUGUAAAGUACUUUCAGCGGGGAGGAAGGGAGUAAAGUUAAUACCUUUACUCAUUGACGUUACCCGCAGAAGAAGCACCGGCUAACUCCGUG